UACGGGGGGGGCAAGCGUUGUUCGGAAUUACUGGGCGUAAAGGGCUCGUAGGUGGCCAACUAAGUCAGACGUGAAAUCCCUCGGCUUAACCGGGGAACUGCGUCUGAUACUGGAUGGCUAGAGUUCGGUAGGGGAGACUGGAAUUCCUGGUGUAGCGGUGAAAUGCGCAGAUAUCAGGAGGAACACCGAUGGCGAAGGCAGGACUCUGGGCCGAUACUGACGCUGAGGAGCGAAAGCGUGGGGAGCAAACAGG
rnacentral:rRNA from 1 species